rnacentral:rRNA from 1 species
ACGGAGGGUGCGAGCGUUAAUCGGAAUUACUGGGCGUAAAGCGCACGUAGGCGGUCAUGUAAGUGGGAUGUGAAACCCCCGGGCUUAACCUGGGACUUGCAUACCAGACUGCAUGGCUAGAGUAUGAGAGAGGGUGGUGGAAUUUCCGGUGUAGCGGUGAAAUGCGUAGAUAUUGGGAAGAACACCCGAGGCGAAGGCGGGUUGCUGGGCCGACACUGACGCUGAGGCGCGAAAGCCAGGGGAGCAAACGGGA